AAGUGCUUUGGAUUACAAUCAUGUUUCUGGAAUGAAUUAUGCUUGCAAACCAAGGUUUUACUGUAAGUACUGAUAGGUAUGUACUUACUGCCAUUUUGUUACUUGGUUUAUGGUUGUUCUUGUAGUUCUUGUCUGUUCCUUUCCUCUCUUGCUAUCUUCUCUCAUGAUUUGCUGGCUUUAUUUAGUGAUAUACAUGGAUUCUUUUCUCUUUAUUUUUAACAUAUCUAUUUGCUUGCCAGUUUUUGAUUUGUGAUUACCAUUAGGUUUGUAUAUAAUAUCGUAUGCAUAUAGCAGUCUAGAUAAACCAAUUUUUAAUUGACAUUGUGUCAUGCUUGACUUAAGGACCAAAGGUAUAUUGCAAAGUAGAAUGAAAUUUUAUUAUGUUUGUUGGAGGAGGUCAUUGAGGAGACGUGAAGGCAGAUUGACCAUGAGUUGGGCAAUCAGAGGCUCCUCAUCCUUAUCCCUGUCCUUGGAAUUUAUAUUCCACUCACCUUUCCCUCACUAGGAGACAUUCCAAGGGCAAAUCCUUAAGAGAGUAAGGUUCUAUUGAGACCUACUGGAUGGUGUACAUUACUAAAACCAGUUAAGACCUUUAUACAAGCUUUUAAGAUUUUGGCAGGCACAUGUGGAGAUCUACUCUUCUUGCCUCCAGCCAGACAAGCUUCAUAUGUUAGUUUCCCUGGUUGUGAACCAGAGGUGUUUUAUAACAUCAAACACAGACUGAUUUCCUUCUCGAAUAUUUGUAAUUCAUUUUCAUUUAAAAGUCAAAUCACUUAUGUUAAUAUUUUGUAUUUUGAGAAAAUAAAAAAGUUCUAGUUUUUAUGAUAUUUAAAAUGCUGAAUUGAUUUUAAUCAUUAUGUUGACUCUUAAACAUUUGCUUAUUGUAGUAUUAGAAACAUUGAAGUUCUUUUUAAAGUCAACUUUCAAUAGAUGGAAGUAUCUCAAGGUUAUCUGGAAGAGAGGUUACAGAUUUAUUAUUAUAUUUUCCUCAAGUGUUAUUAUAUUUCAGUAAUGGAAUUUCUUAUGUGUCCUAUUUUUUAAUCAAUCAUGAUAAUGAACAGUAUUUUUUGAGAAUAAAUGCAGUUAAAAGUUUUUUUCAAAGCCUUUAAGUUUAUUUUACAAUUAGAAAGGCAAAAUGAUCAUAAGCAUACAUCCUAAUACAUUUUUAAAAAUCAGGCAAACUCCUGUAGCCAACAUCUGGAGCAAAACACAGAACAUGUUAGGAAUACACAAAUUGCCCUUGUGCUCCUCCUUUAGUUUUGCUAGUGUUAAACCAACUUUGCUUUUCUAGAGUAAAUGCAAUUUAGUUACGGUAUUUGUUGUCAUUUUGUAUAUACUGCUGGCUGUUUCCUUAACUCCUGCUUAAAAUUAUUGUAUCUUGUAUUCAUGAGUGAGAUUGGCUUUGAUAUUUCCUUUUCUCAUACUUUUUCUUUUUGUUCAAUUCCUGGGUUGUUUUCUGUCUUCAUAAACUAGUUAGGGAACAGAUUUCCUUCUUCUAACCUCCAGAACUGUUUGUAUAAGAAUAGGAUUACAUGUCCUCUCAUUUUAUUCUGAUUUGGUAGUGAAACAUCUAGUAUUCUUUCACUUCCCCCCAUUGUCUUGUAUUGAAUUUAAAAUACUUACAGAAGUAAUGUGUGUGCAAAUAUAAACAACCAAUUUUCAGGUGAGUGCAGUUGUCCUGCAAUGGGUAGGAAACAGUGUGGAUCAGAACCGCCUGAAGGGCUUGUUGAGUCACUUACUAAUGGGCCCACGUGUAGUCUUGAGACAAGGGCUAUGGGUUGAGGCUGAGCUUUUGCUCUCCUCUCAGGUGCUGCUGUUGGUGCAAGGACCACACUGUGAAAGCCACGGAACAAGCGAAGUUAGUAUAAAAAACUAUUUACAUUUCUCAGCUUCAACUGUUAUUAAUCCACUACCGUGUUGCUUUAUAUGUCUCUUCCCAUCCUCCUCACCAAAUUAUUUUGAAAGGAAUAUCAGAAACCGUACUUUAUUUCAAAAUAUAACAAUAUUUAUCUCUAAAAUGUAAGGACCCUAUUUUCUUCAUUUUUCUAUAUCAGUAUGUUGAAGUGCAAUUGUUUUGUGUGUGUUCAUGUUGUAUUCUGUCAAUUUGCUAAGCUCACUUAUUUUAGGAGGCAUUUUUUUUUCUUUUGCCAGUUACUUGGGAUGUUUUGUGUAGAUAAUAAUCGAUACCCACAAAAGGAGUUUUAUAUCUUCCUGUGCACUCAGUAUGCCUCUUCUGUCUUUUUUUUUUGCCUGUUCUUGUAGCUAGCAUUUCAGCUCUGUGGUCAAUGAGUGGUGAGGACACAUCUUGCCUUGUUUCCAAUCUUGGAAUGCUCUUCAUCUUUCACCAUUAAGUGAUAGAUUCAAGUUCCUGAUCCAUGUAAUUUUCCUUCUUGAAGAAUUUAUCGCCUUCUCUUCAAGGGAAAAUCAGCUGGUGAUGACUGCUCAGUUUCUUCAUGAAAGAGCCUAAUUUUGUUAAAAACAGAAGGCACUAAUGAGGCAUUAAAUAAUCAACAUUUUGCAAGAAUCAGUCAUUCCAAAGCAAGUGCACAUCUUUACUUUGUGAAUGAAGGAUUGUUCCCAUUAAGCCAGAAGGCCCCAAAUGCUUAAAAUGUGCUGGAGUAAAUUACCAAGAGUAGAUACAAUAUAGUUGUUUAAUUUGAAAUACAUUUACUUUUAUUAUAAAAUAAUAAUACUGACAUAUUCAACAAACUAUGUAAUAACCCCUAUUUUAAAUUUUCUUUAAAAUUAUGUCAAUUUAAAAUAUUUUAUACUUUUUCAUAAAAUUUUUUUAUCCUUUUACUACACUUGAUCUCUUCCUGAUAUGAGAUGAACUUUAACAAAUAGAAUAACUGAAUUCAAGAAUAAAGUAGUAGCUGUCUGUAAUCAAUUGGAACUAUGUUACAUAUCUAAGGAGCAAAUUUAUGCACUUGUAGUUUUUGACAUUAUUUUCAGAUUUAAUAAACUAUCUGAAGGUACAUUGACUAGAUUUGUAUUGUAUUUUUCUCUGUACACUUUAACUGAUUUAAUGGUUGUUAUUUAAAAACUUAGCAGUACCUCUUAUAUGCAUAGCAUAAUAUUCUAUACUUUGUAAGAAUUGCAAGAAAUAUUUAAAUCCCAAGAAGGGACAAUUUGACUUGUUCCUAAAUAUACUAGUAUUUAAAUAAUUUCAUAAAUAACAGUUCUGUUCUUUUAUUCUAUUUGGACAGAUAUUUACUGAACAGUUCUUGGAGAUAAUGGAUUCUAUGCCAAUGUUUCUCUUUGGGAAGAAUAUCUAAGUAAAGUCAGUGUAUUUAGUGUCCUUUUGCCUUGGACCCCCAAAUCCUAAAGAUUUAUAUGUAUUGUACCAUGAACCCUUAAAGAACAUACAAGGGCUCUUCUCCUGUAAAAUCCCUGAUGAAUUACAGAUACUGACAAUUUAUCAGCACAGUGUUAAAUUGGCUGUUGAAGUUUACUAGCUUAAUAUCAGCACUCUUAUUCUCUAUCAAUCUUGUUCUCUACUUCAGUUUUCCUAAUACAUCAUAGAUUCUCCAAAAGUAGGAGACUGUAGAAGAUACCUUGGGAAGUCUUUAGUCCUUUCAUCCACAGAGACUUAUAUCUGUCAAACCAUUUAAAUUUGUCAAAUGUUUCUAAGCACUCAAGAGAAAGAAAUUCCAACAGGUUAGUUCAAUAUUUAGUUUGUGAGGGUUAAACUUUUCAGAUUGCAGCUGAAACUCUUUUUUUUUAAUUAUUCUAGCAUGUGGCAAAGAGAAUACAUGAUUCAUUUUAUUCAUAUAUGGAGCUUAUAUCAAUAAGAAUUAAUUGACAAUUAGUUGAUAAUUGGUGACAAUAAGCAUUUUUCCAUUAUGUUAAUAUAUUUGACUUGAUUCACUUAAAUGAACAAAAAAACACGUAACCUGUAUUUUCAGUUUACUGUUGGGCCCCAAAUAUUUAGCUUUUGUGAACCUAAUUCACUCUGAGAAAAUGCCAUUUUAUGUAAUCUCUCCAAUUCCAGGUUGUUUCCAGUCUAUUUUUCUUUUUUUUUUUUUUUCCUGUUGCUUUCUUUGAUGCAGAAGACCAAUGAAAGCAUUUUCUAAUUAUGAACUGAAUCUACUUUGGGUGGAACAACAGAUCAGCCCUUGAGAUGUGACUUUUAUUGCACAAAGACUAAUGUAUGUGAAUUAGAGACAGAGGGAAAGAAAGAGAGGUUAGGAAAAGAAGAGGAGAAGAAAGAUCAGAUGAAGAAACUGCUCCUGUCCUUUAGAAGUACCUGAUUAAAAAGUAUGGAGUAAUUGAUUAAAAAAAAAAAAAACCAAAAAAAUCACUAAAAAAUGGAAUUAUACACAGCUUCUUAAAUCCAAAUUUAAUUUUUUACUUUUAAAUAGAUUUAUCUGUAGGAAGCCCUAUCUAAAUUACUAAAUGACUUGUAAGUGUUAAUUCUGACUGUUUCUUGUAAAUAAAGAUAUUAAAAAGUGAAAUGUUUGGUUAUUUACCACUGGUGUAGGAACCUUAGACCGAAAGCCCUUAGACCAGUGUUUCUCUAUGAAUGCUCAGCUGAUGGCAAAUGGCAGAAUUAUGUGAGGUUCUCUCUCUCUCUUUUUUUUUUUAGGAUCUUUUUUCUAUUAAAGAAUAUAUAUCAACAUAAACAUUAAAAUAUUGUGGAAAGUUAAGCUCUCCCUUAAUCUACCUUCCAGAGAUUUUAUUUUUGUCUGAGAGAUGUUGUGUAGUAAAUAAUUUAACCUUGAUAAAAGAGAGGUCAAGUCUGCCCUGUAAUUCUGGGAGGUAAUCUCUAAAUCCUUGAAAUGUCAUGUUUAAUGGGAGUAUUUUUAUUUGCCUGAGGCCCUUGGGCGAUCCAGAUAGUAACAAUGUAAUUUGGGGCAGUGAUUUGCAUAUGUAGGUAUCAGAUCCCCUGAGGAGCUGGAAACAGACAUCUACCAGUUGGACAGUCAGUCAGUUAUGCUUAUGUGGUGCAGCUUUAGUAGGGAUUUUGGAUACUAAGGCUCAGAGAACUUCCCUAGUUGGCAAGACUCCAGCAUGUCGUUCCACACUGAUAUUCUGGAAGUAACACUGUCCAUUACUUUAUGGGAGAGGACAACAGAGCUUUAAAUUUAGUGCUUUUUGUAGACUCUGCCACAGGCACUCCUUCCCUUGGCCAGUUUUAAUACAAUAGCUCUCAAUGAGUUCUGUGAGUCCUGCUGGUGAAAUAUUGAAACCAAGGGUAGUUUUAGGAACCCUUGAACUUGAAUUUAAUAUCAUCAGUGAGUUGGUAUUAUGCAUUCCUAACUGUAUAGUUGGCAAAUUCUUAGAUGGCUAUAAAUAAAAAAGGAAAUAAUAGAAAUUUAUUAUGAAAAUUUUCUAAAUCUGAUAUAUUAUAUAGAUUGUAAAAAAAACCCAACCCUGAUAUGCCAUCAAAGAAUGUUGAAACCUCUAAUUUUCUCCGCCUCAUUUCAUUUCUUCUCUCUUGUUUUUUGUGUUUAUAAUUUCAGUUCAGUGUAAUUAUUUGCAUAAAUAGCAAUAUAUGGUCUCUUUCAUGAGUUUAAGCUUUAUAUAAAACAUAUCAUCUCAUAUUAUUUUGAAAUCUGUUUUUUUUGUCUUCAGAAUUCUACUUCUGAGAAUUCUAUAAUUUAUUGUAAGCAGUCUCUUUAUUUCCCCAAAACCAAGUUGGCAUUUCCCUCUUCCUUUUUUCUUUACCAGGUCAUAGACAAGAAAUAAAUACCAAAUGUUUUAUAUUAAUUAUUUGAAUUUAAUGAUACAAGACCAUUCUGAAUUCAACAAAAAUUGUUGUUUUUUUUUGUAAGUACAGUCCUAAUAAACUCAGAUAUUAAAAGAGAUAUUAGAAAUACAAAAAGCAUCUUAAUGGUAAAAUCAUAAAAAUCACCCUUACUCCUCAUAAAGAAAAUUAUGCAAAUCCUUAUUGUUACAAAGUAAGUGUUUGCACCAGUUGUUAUGAAAUUCAGUAGAUUUGGUUUCCAUUAUUAAAGAAACUGAUUUUAUUGUAAAAUAUUGGUUUGCACUGGACUAAAUCCUAUAUUUAAGGCAAUAUCCUCAUGUUCUAAAAGUAUGCAAUAAAGGGAACCUCUUGGUUUCAAACUUAUACCAAGAGAUUCUGUUAAGUAACAAGUAAAAUCCAAUGGUACUAAGAAACUCUACCAUAUUUUAUAAAAUGCGAGGAC